rnacentral:rRNA from 1 species
UCAGUAUGUGUGUUAGUGGAAGCGUCUGGAAAGGCGCGCGAUACAGGGUGACAGCCCCGUACACAAAAAUGCACAUGCUGUGAGCUCGAUGAGUAGGGCGGGACACGUGGUAUCCUGUCUGAAUAUGGGGGGACCAUCCUCCAAGGCUAAAUACUCCUGACUGACCGAUAGUGAACCAGUACCGUGAGGGAAAGGCGAAAAGAACCCCGGCGAGGGGAGUGAAAAAGAACCUGAAACCGUGUACGUACAAGCAGUGGGAGCACGCUUAGGCGUGUGACUGCGUACCUUUUGUAUAAUGGGUCAGCGACUUAUAUUCUGUAGCAAGGUUAACCGAAUAGGGGAGCCGAAGGGAAACCGAGUCUUAACUGGGCGUUAAGUUGCAGGGUAUAGACCCGAAACCCGGUGAUCUAGCCAUGGGCAGGUUGAAGGUUGGGUAACACUAACUGGAGGACCGAACCGACUAAUGUUGAAAAAUUAGCGGAUGACUUGUGGCUGGGGGUGAAAGGCCAAUCAAACCGGGAGAUAGCUGGUUCUCCCCGAAAGCUAUUUAGGUAGCGCCUCGUGAAUUCAUCUCCGGGGGUAGAGCACUGUUUCGGCAAGGGGGUCAUCCCGACUUACCAACCCGAUGCAAACUGCGAAUACCGGAGAAUGUUAUCACGGGAGACACACGGCGGGUGCUAACGUCCGUCGUGAAGAGGGAAACAACCCAGACCGCCAGCUAAGGUCCCAAAGUCAUGGUUAAGUGGGAAACGAUGUGGGAAGGCCCAGACAGCCAGGAUGUUGGCUUAGAAGCAGCCAUCAUUUAAAGAAAGCGUAAUAGCUCACUGGUCGAGUCGGCCUGCGCGGAAGAUGUAACGGGGCUAAACCAUGCACCGAAGCUGCGGCAGCGACGCUGAUGCGUUGUUGGGUA